GUUUAUGCGACGUGGUUUAGAAUGGACUUCAAGAUUUGGAAGCUGAAGAAAUAAAUCUUUGAAAACUUUGUUGAACUAUCCAAUUCAUUCCUAGGUAGUUUCCUUUCAGUGUCUAAUUCCCAAAUGAUUGAAAUUGUUCAAGCAUUAAACACCAGUGGAAUUCAACUAUGGAAAUAGCUUUAUCUAGUGUUCCAAUGCUUACAUUCACUUUAUUCUUGGACUAAGUCCGAAUAGUAGAAAAAAAUUGGAUGUGGGGAAAAAUGGGUUGGCGUUAAAAUGGUGAGUUAAAAGUGAGGAAUUGAUCACACAAGAACAAAUACUGGAAAUUUACGGAUCAUGGAAGUGGAUCCUCCUAUAGGAACCUUGAUGUAUUUUAGAAGACAUUUCGUGUGUUCAAUGUGACGUUUUAGAAAUCGAACAUCAAACCAGUGAGACUUUCAACUUAUAGUUGGAUAAAAUUGUGAUCGAACCACUCAAUGACUCAA
rnacentral:lncRNA from 1 species